AAAGGAAUAGACGGGGGCCCGCACAAGCGGUGGAGCAUGUGGUUUAAUUCGAUGCAACGCGAAGAACCUUACCAGGUCUUGACAUCCAGAGAACCCUGUGGAAACACGGGGGUGCCCUUGGGAGCUCUGAGACAGGUGGUGCAUGGUUGUCGUCAGCUCGUGUCGUGAGAUGUUGGGUUAAGUCCCGCAACGAGCGCAACCCUUGCUAUUAGUUGCUAACAGGUUAAGCUGAGCACUCUAAUGGGACCGCCCGUGACAAGCGGGAGGAAGGUGGGGACGACGUCAAAUCAUCAUGCCCUUUAUGAUCUGGGCUACACACGUGCUACAAUGGAUGGUACAGAGAGCAGCGAAACUGCGAAGUGAAGCGAAUCUCAAAAAGCCAUUCUCAGUUCGGAUUGUAGUCUGCAACUCGACUACAUGAAGUCGGAAUCGCUAGUAAUCGCGAAUCAGCAUGUCGCGGUGAAUGCGUUCCCGGGCCUUGCACACACCGCCCGU
rnacentral:rRNA from 1 species